UACGUAGGGUGCGAGCGUUAAUCGGAAUUACUGGGCGUAAAGCGUGCGCAGGCGGUUAUGCAAGUCAGAUGUGAAAUCCCCGGGCUUAACCUGGGAACUGCAUUUGUGACUGCAAGGCUGGAGUGCGGCAGAGGGGGAUGGAAUUCCGCGUGUAGCAGUGAAAUGCGUAGAUAUGCGGAGGAACACCGAUGGCGAAGGCAAUCCCCUGGGCCUGCACUGACGCUCAUGCACGAAAGCGUGGGGAGCAAACAGG
rnacentral:rRNA from 1 species